GUGUGAUCUCAGCUCACUGCAACCUCCGCCUCCCAGGUUCAAGUGAUUCUUGCACCUCAGCCUCCAGUGUAGUAGCUGGGAUUACAGGCACCCACCACCAUGCCUGGCUAAUUUUCGUAUUUUUCAUAGAGACAAGGUUUUGCCAUGUAGGCCAGGCUGGUCUCCAACCCCUGACCUCAAGUGACCCACCUGCAUUGGCCUCCCAAAGGGCUGGGAUUACAGGCAUGAGCCACUGCACCUGACCCCCUUUUAAAAAUAAGUUCCAAUUUCAAAUUAUCUCUUUGUGAAUGUAUAAGACUGAACACUUUCAAAAUCAACCAGGUCACCUCUUGAAUGCUUUGCUACUUAGAAAUUUCUUCUGCCAGAUGCCUUAAAUCAUCUCUCUCAAGUUCAAAGUUUCACAGAUCUCUAGGGCAGUGGCAAAAUGCCAGCAGUCUCUUUGAUAAAGCAUAGCAAGAGUGACCCUUUGCUCCAGUUCCCAAGAAGUUCCUCAUCUCCAUUUGAGACCACCUCAGCCUGGACUACAUUGUCCACCAAGAUCAAGGAAAAAGGAACAUAAUUUUGGAUUGGGCUGAAUGUAUUGAUAUGAGAACAUUUGUCUACCAAAGGGCUUUGGAAGUAUGGAAGAAAGGGAGGCUGGCAGUGCUUGUUACUUGGUUUCCUUUGGUUUUAUUUAGAGAAAAAAAAGCCAAUUCUGAAGGGUAGGUAGGGUUUAAAUACAAAGGAAAAGAAUCUUCUCUUUGGGAUUCAGUCACAGUAACUACAUUUAGGUUAGGGUAAUCUAGAACUAGUUGCUAUCUGGAACUCGACUUGUCUGUUGUCCACCAGACCCACCUUCAGGUACUAAAAGUCCAUUCUCACUAGCUGUGCAUGGUAUCCAUAAUUUAGUCCUGAUACGUUACAGAUGAGGUGAACAGCUGGCAUCAAGAACCAAAAUGGGUAGGGUCAGCAUUAAAAAGGUCUAGUAGCAGACAGCAGGGUCUCAGAUAAUGGACUUGGACUUAAGAGCAGGAAUCUAGAGUCUCCAAGGAGGUUAGGGGAAAAGGACUGGAAAACAAGAAUGGUUUUACAUUUUAAGAGGCUGACAUCUUGGACAAAUAAUCUAAUGAAGGGCUCGAACUCAGCAAUCGCAGGAGUCUAGUUACCAGGCUUGAGGUAUAUGCUGGACACAGAUAUUAAGGAACUGCACAUCCUUCUCAAACUAGGGUAUAAUUCUGGGACUAGUAAAUAAAAAGCAUUGCAUAUAUAAGAAAUUAUGAUACAUCUUCUAAGGAAUUAGUAGUUGACAGCAAUUUACAUUUUACAUGAAAAUUAGUCACAUUUUAAAUUAGACAGCCAAUUUCGGUGAAUUUAGAAGUAAACACAAGACUUCAAAGAAAUGUCCAGAUUCUAGUAGGCAGUUUCAGGCUGUACUUCCAAGUCACUGUUUGUCUUAGAAAAGUUCAGAAGGCAAUGAUGGGAAAAAGCACUGUAUAUGGGAAAGACUUACUUUAAAC
rnacentral:lncRNA from 1 species